UACGUAUGGAGCAAGCGUUAUCCGGAUUUACUGGGUGUAAAGGGUGCGUAGGUGGCAGUGCAAGUCAGAUGUGAAAGGCCGGGGCUCAACCCCGGAGCUGCAUUUGAAACUGCUCGGCUAGAGUACAGGAGAGGCAGGCGGAAUUCCUAGUGUAGCGGUGAAAUGCGUAGAUAUUAGGAGGAACACCAGUGGCGAAGGCGGUCUGCUGGACUGUUACUGACACUGAGGCACGAAAGCGUGGGGAGCAAACAGG
rnacentral:rRNA from 1 species